CGUCAGCUCGUGUCGUGAGAUGUUGGGUUAAGUCCCGCAACGAGCGCAACCCUUGUCUUUAGUUGCCAUCAUUAAGUUGGGCACUCUAAAGAGACUGCCGGUGUCAAACCGGAGGAAGGUGGGGAUGACGUCAAGUCCUCAUGGCCUUUAUGACCAGGGCUACACACGUACUACAAUGGCAGGUACAAAGGGCAGCCACUUAGCGAUAAGGCGCGAAUCCCGUAAAACCUGUCUCAGUCCGGAUUGGAGUCUGCAACUCGACUCCAUGAAGUUGGAAUCGCUAGUAAUCGCAGAUCAGCACGCUGCGGUCGAAUACGUUCCGGGCCUU
rnacentral:rRNA from 1 species